rnacentral:rRNA from 1 species
GAUGUGUAGGAUAGGUGGGAGGCUUUGAAGCGUGGACGCCAGUCUGCGUGGAGCCGACCUUGAAAUACCACCCUUUAAUGUUUGAUGUUCUAACGUGGACCCGUGAUCCGGGUUGCGGACAGUGUCUGGUGGGUAGUUUGACUGGGGCGGUCUCCUCCUAAAGAGUAACGGAGGAGCACGAAGGUUGGCUAAUCCUGGUCGGACAUCAGGAGGUUAGUGCAAUGGCAUAAGCCAGCUUGACUGCGAGCGUGACGGCGCGAGCAGGUGCGAAAGCAGGUCAUAGUGAUCCGGUGGUUCUGAAUGGAAGGGCCAUCGCUCAACGGAUAAAAGGUACUCCGGGGAUAACAGGCUGAUACCGCCCAAGAGUUCAUAUCGACGGCGGUGUUUGGCACCUCGAUGUCGGCUCAUCACAUCCUGGGGCUGAAGUAGGUCCCAAGGGUAUGGCUGUUCGCCAUUUAAAGUGGUACGCGAGCUGGGUUUAGAACGUCGUGAGACAGUUCGGUCCCUAUCUGCCGUGGGCGCUGGAGAACUGAGGGGGGCUGCUCCUAGUACGAGAGGACCGGAGUGGACGCAUCACUGGUGUUCGGGUUGUCAUGCCAAUGGCACUGCCCGGUAGCUAAAUGCGGAAGAGAUAAGUGCUGAAAGCAUCUAAGCACGAAACUUGCCCCGAG